rnacentral:ncRNA from 1 species
CCCUCAUCGACAACGCGAUGACCAAGAAGCCUCAGGUAGUGCAAAUCGAGCCGACCGACAAGGCGUUCAAGACGAGUGGCUGCCAACCCUGGCAGAGCACCCCUGACGCCGAUGUGCCCGCCGAGCUUCCCGGCCCGGCCGCCGGGGGCCAGUUGCAGAUGAAUCUGGGGAUACUCAACGGGCUGCUUGCUCCGAAUGGUCAGCAAGUA